GCCAAUGUGGCUCAGUUGGUUGAGGGUCGGCCUAUGAACCAGGAGGUCCAGGUUCGAUUCCUGGUCAAGGGCA
rnacentral:tRNA from 1 species